UAUAAAGUGCCUGAUAAAAGGAUUAUUCUGAUAGGAUAAAUUAUGUAACUAAGUUACCUUUAUUA
rnacentral:tRNA from 1 species